rnacentral:rRNA from 1 species
UACAGAGGUCCCAAGCGUUGUUCGGAUUCACUGGGCGUAAAGGGUGCGUAGGCGGUCGGGUAAGUCUGAUGUGAAAUCUCACAGCUUAACUGUGAAACUGCAUUGGAUACUAUUCGGCUUGAGAGUUGGAGGGGGGACUGGAAUUCUUGGUGUAGCAGUGAAAUGCGUAGAUAUCGGGAGGAACACCGGUGGCGAAGGCGGUUCUCUGGGCCUUACCUGACGCUGAGGAGCGAAAGCGUGGGGAGCGAACAGG